rnacentral:lncRNA from 1 species
CAAAGACACAGAUAUCCCAACUAAAAAUCAAUCAGUGAGACAAUGGCUGGAACUGGAACCAAUGAUAUUAAAAUUAAAGGGUUCGAUUUGAGCAACAACAGCGGCAACACGUCGGGAUUAACCCACUUCGCCAACAGAGCUGAUGGGGGCGACAAGGGCGACAAUAAAAUCGAGGUUGAGGGUGCUAAAGCGCAAGAUAACAAGGGAAACUUGAAAGUACUUACCGAUUUCGCCCAACGCGGUGAAGUGGGCAGGUCGGAUCGCCAAGAACUACUCAAGCCUCAGGCAUGAAAUUGAAGAAGGCCAUACCAUAUAUGUGCUGAAUUAUCUACACAAAAAUAAGAGCUGAUGUUUUAUCUGAGGCUCCUUCCUUGGUUAGGCCUCGUUAUCAUGUGUAAUAUUAAUAUUAUUAUUCUAAUAAAAUAAUGGCAGCUUAUUAUUAAAUAUA